UACGUAGGGACCAAGCGUUGUUCGGAUUUACUGGGCGUAAAGGGCGCGUAGGCGGCGCGGUAAGUCACUUGUGAAAUCUCUGAGCUUAACUCAGAACGGCCAAGUGAUACUGCAGUGCUAGAGUGUGGAAGGGGCAAUCGGAAUUCUUGGUGUAGCGGUGAAAUGCGUAGAUAUCAAGAGGAACACCAGUGGCGAAGGCGGCUCACUGGCCCGAUACUGACGCUGAGGCACGAAAGCGUGGGGAGCAAACAGG
rnacentral:rRNA from 1 species